rnacentral:rRNA from 1 species
UACGUAGGGGGCUAGCGUUGCUCGGAAUCACUGGGCGUAAAGCGCACGUAGGCGGAUCGUUAAGUCGGAGGUGAAAUCCUGGAGCUCAACUCCAGAACUGCCUUCGAUACUGGCGAUCUAGGAGUCCGGGAGAGGUGAGUGGAACUCCGAGUGUAGAGGUGAAAUUCGUAGAUAUCGGGAGGAACACCGGUGGCGAAGGCGGCGACCUGGGACAAUACUGACGCUGAGGUGCGAAAGCGUGGGGAGCAAACAGG